CCUACGGGAGGCAGCAGUGAGGAAUAUUGGUCAAUGGACGAGAGUCUGAACCAGCCAAGUAGCGUGCAGGAAGACGGCCCUAUGGGUUGUAAACUGCUUUUAUAAGGGAAUAAAGUGAGUCUCGUGAGACUUUUUGCAUGUACCUUAUGAAUAAGGACCGGCUAAUUCCGUGCCAGCAGC
rnacentral:rRNA from 1 species